UGCAGUCGAACGGCAGCACAGGAGAGCUUGCUCUCUGGGUGGCGAGUGGCGGACGGGUGAGGAAUACAUCGGAAUCUACUCUGUCGUGGGGGAUAACGUAGGGAAACUUACGCUAAUACCGCAUACGACCUACGGGUGAAAGUGGGGGACCGCAAGGCCUCACGCGAUUGAAUGAGCCGAUGUCGGAUUAGCUAGUUGGCGGGGUAAAGGCCCACCAAGGCGACGAUCCGUAGCUGGUCUGAGAGGAUGAUCAGCCACACUGGAACUGAGACACGGUCCAGACUCCUACGGGAGGCAGCAGUGGGGAAUAUUGGACAAUGGGCGCAAGCCUGAUCCAGCCAUACCGCGUGAGUGAAGAAGGCCCUCGGGUUGUAAAGCUCUUUUGUUGGGAAAGAAAUCCUGUCGGUUAAUACCUGGCAGGGAUGACGGUACCCAAAGAAUAAGCACCGGCUAACUUCGUGCCAGCAGCCGCGGUAAUACGAAGGGUGCAAGCGUUACUCGGAAUUACUGGGCGUAAAGCGUGCGUAGGUGGUUGUUUAAGUCUGUCGUGAAAGCCCUGGGCUCAACCUGGGAAUUGCGAUGGAUACUGGGCAACUAGAGUGUGGUAGAGGGUGGCGGAAUUCCCGGUGUAGCAGUGAAAUGCGUNGAGAUCGGGNNNNACAUCCGUGGCGANGGCGGCCACCUGGGCCAACACUGACACUGA
rnacentral:rRNA from 1 species